rnacentral:rRNA from 1 species
UACGUAGGGUGCAAGCGUUGUCCGGAAUUAUUGGGCGUAAAGAGCUCGUAGGCGGCCUGUCGCGUCGACUGUGAAAACCCAGGGCUCAACCCUGGGCCUGCAGUCGAUACGGGCAGGCUAGAGUGCGGUAGAGGAGACUGGGAUUCCUGGUGUAGCGGUGAAAUGCGCAGAUAUCAGGAGGAACACCGGUGGCGAAGGCGGGUCUCUGGGCCGUAACUGACGCUGAGGAGCGAAAGCGUGGGGAG